ACGCUCGACACCUACGGGAGGUAGCAGUGGGGAAUAUUGCACAAUGGGGGAAACCCUGAUGCAGCGACGCCGCGUGAGCGAAGAAGUAUUUCGGUAUGUAAAGCUCUAUCAGCAGGGAAGAAACUGACGGUACCUGACUAAGAAGCACCGGCUAAAUACGUGCUAGCAGCCGCGGUAAUCUGAGCGGGCUGGCAAGGC
rnacentral:rRNA from 1 species